AUGGAGAAACCGCAAGACCGGAGCACAACUGAUGCAGGUGUCAAGCCGGGCACGAGUGACGCAGAGGAACGCCCGGAGCAGACUGCGCCUUCACCCGCAGCGGAAAUCCCCAGCAUAAAUCUGCGCACUUCCAGGCUCCCAGUCAAUGUCGGUGUCCCCUACAGUCCAAACAAGAAGAUUGUCAUGAAAGCUGCGGCUGAGACCGCUGACAACACGCCCCGCCCUGCAAAUAAGGCCGAUCAUUUUGUAGCGGCCGAUUCAGAUAUGUUUGUUGAUCUUUCACCCUUAGAUUCUGCCCCGAAAGUCGUUCGUGGUCCGGCCAGUAGGAAUGAGAGGCACCCAAUGGCCUUUACCCCACCGAGCUUCAGCCUCGGCGUCAGUCAAGAUCAACCGGUGGUGCAUGAUCCUAUACCAGUUGCCUUUGCUUUCCCAGGAGGCAUGCCCGCAAUGAUGGCGCAGCCAAUGGUCGAGGGCAGGAAGGCUGUCAAGUUCGCAGAGCCAAUUGUGCAAGCCACCCCUGAGGAGAUUUCACCGUCACUUGAUGAAGUUUACCGCAUGAUCGAGGAGACAGCAUUGCAGAGGAGUUCCUCACGAGGGCAAGGGCAAUCAAGUUCCAAUGUGCCUGCAGAUACGGUAUCUGAGGAUACCAUUAGGAGUGUCACCCCUGGUCCUGUGAGGCAGCAGAGGGUAGUUCACCCACCCCCCGCGGAAGACUACGAGCCCGAAUUCAGGGCCACUAAGGAACAGACCCAGCUGUACGAUAUCGUCAAGCGUUUUGGAAAUGCGAGGACCAACAGCAAGCACAUGAAGGAGCUGAAAGCGUAA
rnacentral:rRNA from 1 species